CUGUGCAGUGUGGGAAGAAACCAGAGUUCCCAGAGAAAAUACAUGCAUGUCACGGGAAGAAAGUACAAACUCCGUACAUAC